rnacentral:rRNA from 1 species
UACGGAGGAUCCAAGCGUUAUCCGGAUUUAUUGGGUUUAAAGGGUGCGUAGGCGGUUCUUUAAGUCAGGGGUGAAAGACGGUAGCUUAACUAUCGCAGUGCCUUUGAUACUGAAGAACUUGAAUACACUUGAGGUAGGCGGAAUGUGACAAGUAGCGGUGAAAUGCAUAGAUAUGUCACAGAACACCAAUUGCGAAGGCAGCUGGCUACACAAAUAUUGACACUGAGGCACGAAAGCGUGGGGAUCAAACAGG